GUUUCACUAAGGGCCAGACAUGUUUAGUUUAUUGACAUGUUUUUAUUUAAUCAAAAAAGUCAAACAUCUUUGACUGUAUUAUUGCAUGUCUCAUAUACUCUUCUCGCUUACAGCUUGGUCGACAUGAAGCCACAAAAAAGUAACUUAGCCAUCAAAGAAAAAACGAAACAAAAAAAUCGGGAC